AUUGAACGCUGGCGGAAUGCUUUACACAUGCAAGUCGAGCGGCAGCGCGGGGCAACCUGGCGGCGAGCGGCGAACGGGUGAGUAAUGCAUCGGAACGUACCCAGUCGUGGGGAAUAACACAGCGAAAGUUGUGCUAAUACCGCAUACGUCCUGAGGGAGAAAGCGGGGGAUCGCAAGACCUCGCGCGAUUGGAGCGGCCGAUGUCGGAUUAGCUAGUUGGUGGGGUAAAGGCCCACCAAGGCGACGGUCCGUAGCUGGUCUGAGAGGGCGACCAGCCACACGGGAACUGAGACAGGGUCCAGACUCCUACGGGAGGCCGCAGUGGGGAAUUUUGGACAAUGGGGGCAACCCUGAUCCAGCCAUUCCGCGUGAGUGAAGAAGGCCUUCGGGUUGUAAAGCUCUUUCGGCAGGAACGAAACGGUGGGGGCUAAUAUCCCUUGCUAAUGACGGUACCUGAAGAAGAAGCACCGGCUAACUACGUGCCAGCCGCCGCCGUAA
rnacentral:rRNA from 1 species